rnacentral:lncRNA from 1 species
UUCGUCUUGCGUUAACCGGUUAACCAUAUGCGUUAACCGGUUAACACUGUUUGGAAAUCCUUUUAGAAAACAGUAUUCCGUAUUGCGUUAACCGGUUAACCAUAUGCGUUAAUCGGUUAACACUUUUCGAAAAAGUGUUUAGAAAGCACAACUCUUGUGCAGUCACAACCCCAAUCGCAUAACUCUCCGACAACACAACCCUUGUGCCGUCACUAACCCUGAUGCACCAAUUUCAUACCGUCAAACACAUCUCAAUUGUUGAUUCAGUAUGAUUGAUCAACACGUCAUUGCUUCACCAUACUAACGUCGGAUCAAGAAGCAAACGACCAUUGAUCGCUCAAACGAAAACAACCAUUGAGUGUUUGAAUGAACGAAAC